rnacentral:rRNA from 1 species
GAUGAACGCUGGCGGCGUGCCUAAUACAUGCAAGUCGAGCGAACGGACGAGAAGCUUGCUUCUCUGAUGUUAGCGGCGGACGGGUGAGUAACACGUGGAUAACCUACCUAUAAGACUGGGAUAACUUCGGGAAACCGGAGCUAAUACCGGAUAAUAUUUUGAACCGCAUGGUUCAAAAGUGAAAGACGUUCUUGCUGUCACUUAUAGAUGGAUCCGCGCUGCAUUAGCUAGUUGGUACGGUAACGGCUUACCAAGGCAACGAUGCAUAGCCGAACUGAGAGGGUGAUCGGCCACACUGGAACUGAGACACGGUCCAGACUCCUACGGGAGGCAGCAGUAGGGAAUCUUCCGCAAUGGGCGAAAGCCUGACGGAGCAACGCCGCGUGAGUGAUGAAGGUCUUCGGAUCGUAAAACUCUGUUAGUAGGGAAGAGCAUAUGUGUAAGUAACUGUGCACAUCUUGACGGUACCUAAUCAGAAAGCCACGGCUAACUACGUG